GAGACAGCAGUCGCCGCGGUAACACGUAGGGUGCAAGCGUUAAUCGGAAUUACUGGGCGUAAAGCGUGCGCAGGCGGUUAUAUAAGACAAUCGUGAAAUCCCCGGGCUCAACCUGGGAACUGCGAUUGUGACUGUAUGGCUAGAGUGUGUCAGAGGGGGGUAGAAUUCCACGUGUAGCAGUGAAAUGCGUAGAUAUGUGGAGGAAUACCGAUGGCGAAGGCAGCCCCCUGGGAUAACACUGACGCUCAUGCACGAAAGCGUGGGGAGCAAACAGGAUUAGAUACCCCAGUAGUCCCUGUCUCUUAUAC
rnacentral:rRNA from 1 species